rnacentral:rRNA from 1 species
GGGAAAGAUUUAUCGCUCGAGGAGGGGCCCGCGUCGGAUUAGCUAGUUGGUGGGGUAACGGCCUACCAAGGCGGUGAUCCGUAGCUGGUCUGAGAGGAUGAUCAGCCACACUGGGACUGAGACACGGCCCAGACUCCUACGGGAGGCAGCAGUAGGGAAUAUUGGACAAUGGGGGCAACCCUGAUCCAGCAAUGCCGCGUGAGUGAUGAAGGCCUUAGGGUUGUAAAGCUCUUUCGCGCGCGACGAUUAUGACGGUAGCGCGAGAAGAAGCCCCGGCUAACUUCGUGCCAGCAGCCGCGGUAAUACGAAGGGGGCGAGCGUUGUUCGGAAUUACUGGGCGUAAAGGGCGCGCAGGCGGCUCUUCAAGUCAGGCGUGAAAGCCCCGGGCUUAACCUGGGAAUUGCGCUUGGGACUGGAGGGCUAGAGUACGGGAGAGGAGAGUGGAAUUCCCAGUGUAGAGGUGAAAUUCGUACAUGUUGUGAAGAACACCGGUGGCGAAAGCGGCUCUAUAGACCGUAACUGACGCUCAGGCCCGAAAGCGUGGGGAGCAUACAGGAUUAGAUACCCUGGUAGUCCACGCUGUA